AUUGUCAUUACAGAGCUCGUGAAUGCUGACCACUCACUUCACUAAUAAUCUAACUUUCAUAUUACUAUACACAUCACUAGAAAAAUUAAAGCCUAAGGGUAGUGCUGCAACUUUUGUAUUACUUCUUGCCAUGUGCUGACCUUCCUGCCCUUGAUGUAUAUGUGUUGUGACACUUCCUUGCAAAGUCUGUCUGGGCCAGUGGUGUAUUUUUGGAAUUUGAUGUUGUUCCUUUCUUGCCAGAUCAGGUACACCAUCAUGCCAAACACGCAGGUGACUAUUUGCCAAUGCCUUGUUUUCCUUCUUGGUCCUUUACACAGCCAUAGUACUUCAUCUUCCCAUGUGCUAAUACUUCGUUGAUGGCCUAUCCAUACCAGCAGUUUUGUCCAUAUAAAUUUCACAUAUUGGCACCCAAAGAAUAAGUGUUCAAACACUUCAUUAUCUAGUCCAUAAAACACACACGACUUGGGUACUUGGAUUCCCAUCUUCAUUAGCCUAUCCACAGUAGCUAGUCGUUUAUGUGCUACUAACAAAAGUAUAAAUUUGUAUCUAGGAUGCAUAUUUAGUUGAAGUAUCAACCUCUUCCAGGGAAUUCUUGGGUAUUAUGGCCUCAUUUGCUUAUACAUUCUUUUAAUGCUAAAAGCAUCAGAGUGUUGGAGUUGGUAUAAUAUACUGAGCAGGUCCAUGAUGUUAAGGCUACCUGCAGCCUCAGGCAGACACACCUUGUCCCAAGCAAUUAGGCUUUUCUUGGAUACCUCUGCUGGACCAGUCCAGAGGAAGGAUCUACAGAUUGCAUUUAUCAUCUUCAUUACUUUCUUAGGGAGUAAGAAUAUCUGUGCCCAAUAUGAUUGGACACCAAACAGAACUGAUUUUUUCAGUUGGACACGACCAACAUAAGACAAUAGUUUGGAUGUCCAACAGUUGAUCCUAGCUGUAAUUUUCUCCACUCGAGGCCAACACUAACUGAUAGAUAAUUUCUUUGUUGCAAGGGAAAACCCUAAGUAAUUGAAUGGUAGGGAUCCUUCACUAAAUCCCAAAUGCUGCAGAAUCUCAUCCUUGACUCUCCCAAACACUCCUGUAAUAUAUAUGGAUCUUUUCUCUGCAUUUGGUUUUAGUCCUGAUGCUUCUGAAAACUUCAGAAAUGGUGCAUAUAAUAGCUUAACAGAUUGCAUAUCAGCCUUACAAAACAUGAGGAGGUCAUUAACAAAAUACACAUGAAUAAUUCUCUGUUGUUUACACCUUGGAUGGAAUUGGAAGUCCUUGUUUAGUGCCAGGUGGUUAAAUUCCCUUUGAAGAUACUUCAUAGUAAUACAAAACAAAUACGGAGACAUUGGAUCUCCUUGCCUAAUCCCUCUAUUUCCUUUAAAGGGUUUUGUUAAACCACCAUUCAGUGAUAGGGAAUAUGUGACUGUGGCAAUGCAUUCCAUAAUCCACACAAUAAACUUGUGAGGAAAUCCCAAGUGCAUUAGCAUAUUCCUCAGGAAGUCCCAAUCUAGUGUGUCAUAUGCUUUCUUUAGGUCUACCUUCAGCACACACCUUGCACUCAUCCCUUCCUGGUAUACCCUUUAAACAAUUCAUGGGUAAAUAGAAUAUUAUCAGUGAUGCAUCUUCCUAUGAUGAAAGCAGAUUGUGAGCCACCUACUAUAUCCCCAAUAGCCAUCUUCAGUCUUCCUGUCAGUAUUUUGGUCACAAUUUUAUACAAGGUAGUGUAACAGGCAAUAUGUGUGAAGUCUUUUACCUGUGCAAUACCUUGUGUCUUUGGUAUCAAAGCUGUGCUAAUCCAAGCUUUAAGCAUCUUUCCAUUUUAAAAAAAACUCAGGACAACCUCAAAUAUAUCUUCUUGGACUACAAUCCAUUGCUGUGUAAAAAACUCAAUUAGAAAUCCAUCAAAUCCUGGUGCUUUAUCCUUUGGCAUACUUUUAAUGGCUUCCAGUAUUUCAUCCCUUGUGACCUUUUUAGUGAGGUGUGCUUGCUGAUCAUGAUUUAAGCAUAUACCUUUCUUGAUUAUCUCAGUAUUAGGACACUUGUGUACAGGGCCAGCUUUACCCAUCAAACUGGUGAAAAUGUACAUAAAAAAUAAAGAUAAUUUAAUGGUUUAAAACCAUCGC